rnacentral:rRNA from 1 species
GACGAACGCUGGCGGCGUGCUUAACACAUGCAAGUCGAACGGAAAGGCCCUGCUUUUGUGGGGUGCUCGAGUGGCGAACGGGUGAGUAACACGUGAGUAACCUGCCCUUGACUUUGGGAUAACUUCAGGAAACUGCGGCUAAUACCGGAUAGGAGCUCCUGCUGCAUGGUGGGGGUUGGAAAGUUUCGGCGGUUGGGGAUGGACUCGCGGCUUAUCAGCUUGUUGGUGGAGUAGUGGCUUACCAAGGCUUUGACGGGUAGCCGGCAUGAGAGGGUGACCGGGCACAUUAGGCCUGAGGUACGGCCCAGACUCCUACGGGAGGCAGCAGUGGGGAAUAUGGCACAAUGGGCGGAAGCCUGAUGCAGCAACGCCGCGUGCGGGAUGACGGCCUUCGGGUUGUAAACCGCUUUCGCCUGUGACGAAGCGUGAGUGACGGUAAUGGGUAAAGAAGCACCGGCUAACUACGUG